rnacentral:lncRNA from 1 species
AGUCAGGUUGUCUAAGCUUGAGCAGUGAUUGAACAUAAGAGUGAGAUGUGGCAUGAGGGCAUUAGUAAGUUAAGUUGUUUGGAUAAGAUGGAGAAGUACCUUCUUAAGUUGCUUGUUUGAUUGUUCCUAUGGUUAUGAGAACUCUAUCCUGGUUAGAAUGAGCUUUGUAGUGUUUUACUGUAUGAGUUGUAAAUUUAUUCUGGUUUAUUCAUGUGGCUUGUGGCAACAAACCGUGACAAUAUUUUGGUUCACUGUAGUAAAUGUUUGGACAUGUUUCUGAGUGUCUCGUUUUGAGCCACAGAUAGUCAAACUAUGAUUUAGUUAAAAUGGCUCUGGAGUAAGAUAGCAACAAGCCAAUCACACACAUGUGCUUUG